AUGGGGCGGGUGGCGCAGGCGCAUUAGGGGCCGGUUCCGGUUCCGGGGGAACGGCGCGUCUUCUUCCGGGUUCUCCCUGGUGGCGGCCUCCGGUGAGGCGGCGCGGGCCGGUCGGCGCCAUGGCUCGAAACGCGGAAAAGGCCAUGACGGCCUUGGCGAGAUUUCGUCAAGCUCAGCUUGAGGAAGGAAAAGUUAAGGAGCGAAGACCUUUCCUUGCGUCGGAGUGUAAUGAGUUGCCUAAAGCUGAGAAAUGGAGGCGACAGAUCAUUGGGGAAAUUUCCAAGAAAGUGGCACAGAUUCAAAAUGCUGGAUUAGGUGAAUUCAGAAUUCGGGACCUGAAUGAUGAAAUAAACAAACUUCUGAGGGAGAAAGGACACUGGGAAUUCAGAAUUAAGGAGCUAGGAGGUCCUGAUUAUGCUCGGAUUGGACCAAAAAUGUUAGAUCACGAAGGGAAAGAAGUUCCAGGAAAUAGAGGUUACAAGUAUUUUGGAGCUGCAAAGGAUUUACCAGGAGUUAGAGAACUUUUUGAAAAGGAGCCCCUCCCACCGCCUCGGAAAACUCGAGCUGAGCUUAUGAAAGCCAUUGAUGCAGAAUACUAUGGCUACAGGGAUGAAGAUGAUGGUAUUCUGGAGCCGCUGGAACAAGAACAUGAAAGGAAAGUUAUAGCAGAAGCAGUAGAAAAAUGGAAAAUGGAGAGAGAAGCGCGACUUGCAAGAGGUGAGGAGGAAGAGGAGGAGGAAGUAAAUAUCUAUGCUGUCAACGAUGAUGAGUCUGAUGAGGAAGGCGGCAGGGAAAAAGAAGGUGAAGAAGGCCAACAGAAAUUUAUUGCACACGUUCCGGUGCCAUCUCAACAAGAGAUUGAGGAAGCUCUUGUACGGAGAAAGAAGAUGGAGCUUCUUCAGAAGUAUGCCAGCGAAACCCUCAUGGCACAGAGUGAAGAAGCAAAAACACUUUUAGGAUUGUAACAUUGCCCCAGUAUGUCCUGGUUUUCAUAUGAUCCAUCUUAAAACAACAGGUUCAUAAAUUCUGGUAGCAGUCACUUUUAGCUCUGAAAGUCCCUCUGGGUGUUAAGAGUAGACUGAUGAAGUUACAGGGUAUUCUGUAGAAGGAAAACCAUCGUUUUGGUUUAUCCACUGAGGUGGCUUGCACUUCAGUGCUGAAAAAGAUCAAACCUGUGUUAACUUGUCUCUACAUCUUUGGCACCUGUCUUCAAUCCUUUCAUUUUGUAAAACAGUUUGUGCAGUGGUGCCUCUUACAGAUAGAACUGCAAACCCAGGGACUCCUUAAAUCCUGAAGGAAUGCUGACUGAUGGAAGUACUGCCAUUCUGCCUGCUGUAUCCUGACUCUCAAAGGAUUGUGUUGUUUCCCUGAUCGUAGCCCAAGAAUGGGAACGUAAACAGCCAUCCGCGUAGGGGUUUGAAGCUGUGCAUCCCCUGCUGCUCUUAGCUUGUGCAUCCUGUGACAAGAGGCGGAUUACAGCAGAGCCUGUUCAGAGUCUUACAGGUGACUAACACUGUUACACAGGUGUGAAUGAAUGAAAUCUCAAACUAGACGUCUGCAGCCGUGGAGUAGUGUUGUCUAAGGAAACAACCAAGUAACCAUGUCUGGGGCUGGUUAGAGUUUCUGGAUGCUCUUAGUAUUCAGCUGUGUCGAUUGUAAAUAAUCCAAUCCAGAAUACAAAGCUCUAAAUUAGAGAGGCAUGCUUUGUCUUACUUGAUGUAAAUGAUUAAGCAAAAAACGCCUUGAAAAAGUGGGAAGCAUAGCUGUGAAAUUCAAAUCCUAAAAUGAAAAUAAAUCAAAAACUCAAGUAUUGAUAGCAAGCAGACAACUAACAUUACAAACACGUUCUUCUGUCUUCCUGUUAGCAGCAUGGCUUUCUCUGCUUUCUAAUAGAGCAGCAAACGAGUAUGUUUGACUCAUAAUAAUUUGUGUGCUCUGCCUUGCAAGCACCUGUCCAAAGUUGGUUUUAGUUUUUGCUGCUGCCCCUUGAGUGUUUUCUGGUUUUGGAUUUGGGGAAGGUGAUGUGCUUUUAUCCACACGCUGUUUGUAUUGCUGUAAAAGACAACACUGUUUCCCAGAGUUCCUUCCCUGAAACCCCUGGCCAGAGAAUGAAAAAAAUGGCCUCAUUCCAUGUUGGAUGUGCUCACAGGUUUGUGGUCUAGCAGUACUGCAUCAGACUAGUGCACUUCACCUAUGCAAAAGAUUAAUAUGUGAAGGAUAAAGGCCUUCUUGCCUGGUUCUAAGCCACUAACUGAGUUCCUGGAGCUUAAUAAAUUGGCAUGCAAGUCCUUAUCCUGCUUCAGGAGUGUUGGUGACCAAACCAUAGCAUGACCAGGGCAUGGUGGGAUGUGGCACCAACAAAAAAACCUAGAGCAGCCAAAUGGGCUUGCCAAAAAGAUGUUUAGAGUUAAAGCUCUGUUGUCAACAGCCUCUUGCCAACUGUGUGUCUGCUAGACUGUAUGCUUUUUGUUUGCUCAACAAAACAAACUUCUAUGGAAGAGCAGUGCUCGGAAGAAGAAUGCCAGUCUUGCUGUAGAUUUGCUAAACUAUGUGCUGGAGAUGACCAUGCUAGAUUUGGCGGGGGGGAACCCACCUAGUUUUUAUGGCCUGGUACAGUCUGGGAGUUUCACAAUAGCGAUGGUUGAUCCCUUCUGUCACUAUAUGACUCCAUAACGUAGAAGACAGAAAACAGAAGGGUAAAGACAGAUGGGGGCAGAGUGAUAGUUACAGAAGGCAUCAAAAAAGAAUAAACAGAAAGAAUGAGAGAAAAUCGAGACAGGAUAGUUACUGCAUUCGUGUUCAAAGGAGCAGCUACCAGCCCUGAGCAAGACCAAUGUAACGAGGUCAAUAGAGAAGUCUUUAAGGCAGUGUUGAUCUCUGCUGACCAGCACAGAAAUGGAAAAAAUGGACAAAAACGCAGUAUGGAGCUGUGCAAUGCAAACUGUGGUUGUUGCUUGAACCCGCUUGUACUCAAUACUCGCUCUGUAACUCUGAGCACUAAGCAUUUUUAAGCUGGAUGCUCUUUUUGGCUGCAUCUGAGCCAACAAAUUGCGGAGUGAUUGUUUGCCAGCAGCAGCCUAUAGCAAAGUGCCUCUGUUCUGCUUGCUGCACAGGCUCUUAAAUUGCUGGUGGAGCUGGGGCUAGGAAGGUUCGGUAGCCACAGCCAGGGAUCUGGUGAUGUAGCUUGUCCUGGAGAAUGAAACGGCGCACAGGCUCCACAUUAACUCACACUUUGAGUGCGCAGCUUAGAUGUGUGUGUGUUGGGCUUAUAAUCUGUGUAAUGCCUCAGCCUUGAACACAUCUAGGUUAUAAAAUAAACAUAACUUUAUACAUGCUAACAUAUAGCUUGUUAUCUCGUCUGCCUUAGAGUUCUGUGCUGUGCGUGGUCCUGGCUUGAGGGGAUAACCUCCCUGUUCUGUUCUCUGCAUCAGCUUUGGCUUGCUUUUGUGUUUUAGAAAUGCAUUUGGUGCUGUGUGAUUUAAUGCCAGCCAUGUAAGUGGUGCAGAUUGAAAGACACCUGCCUUAAUCUUUGUGUCGGUGAGUGCAGUGUAAUCACUGGAACAUCGGUUUCUCCUGGAGUCUGAGAGAGGGUGGUGCGGAGUAUUUGUUGGGAGUUCUAGGAAAUAAGUGGAUUUACCUAAUCUGAAUGAGCAGAUGAGCAAGAUGAACAGAGACAGCUUUGCAGAGGAUCCAUUAACUAAUGAUAUUUUGUGCUUGUUUUCUCACUCUCAAGUCUAGUCGCUGGGAAAUGCCUUUGCAAUACAGAUCCCACAUCUAAGAUGCCCCGGUGUUUGCGUAUAUGCAUGAUGUGCUUUUUUUCUGAAAACCAUUGAUUACUGACAAACCAGAAAGAAUGUCUGGUUUGUUAAU